GGAGGACGUUAAAUGAUGAUGACAAUGAAGGCUAUCUGUCAAUAAGUAUUGGUCACAUGGUACCAAGUUCUAAGAAGCAUUUAAGUAGAACUUCAUCAGUGGUUCAAUAUCUCUCAGAUUCACUACUGGUGGCAACUCCUUGAAUUCUACCUCCACUCCUGGUUUCAUGUCAUGGACUAUGACCAUGCUGUAUCAAAGUCUUUUAGUCCGUAGCCGAUUGCAUCAAUAUAAUAAGGAAGAAAUGCAAAAUGGAUCCGAGUGGGGUUCCGCAAAGCGAAACAACCAAAUACUUUGAGGUAUUACGUCUAACGUUUUUACUAAUUCUGCUAAUCAUCACUGUAUAUUGAUCUGAAAUACCAAUACUGUCUUUCUUUUUGUUUAACCCAGCUCAAACCUGAUCGACCAGCAACCUACGCUACGGACAUGGUUAGUCGGUU